rnacentral:rRNA from 1 species
UNAAAAUACAUGAUUCCUCAGUACGGCGAGCGAAGAGGGAUAAGCUCAAAUUUUAAAUCUGUCGGGUUUCAACCUUAACAGAGUUGUAUUUUGAAGAAACGUUUUCUCGCGUCCAGGAUUAGCCUAAAUCCUUUGGGAUAAGGUAUCAUGGAGGGUGAGAAUCCCGUUCAUGGUUAAUCUUAAGGACGUUCUACGAUACGUUCUCCAAGAGUCGAGUUGUUUGGGAUUGCAGCUCAAAAUGGGAGGUAAAUUUCUCCUAAGGCUAAAUAUUGGCGAGAGACCGAUAGCGAACAAGUACCGUGAGGGAAAGAUGAAAAGAACUUUGAAAAGAGAGUUAAACAGUACGUGAAAUUGUUGAAAGGGAAACGAUUGAAGUCAGUCAUACCAACGGGAAAUCAACCUUUUGAGUUUGUUCUUGUGGGUUUCGAGGAGUUUAAAAGCCUUCGGAUUUGCUAGGAUUGGGCUCUUUUGGUGUACUUUCUCGUACGGUUAGUCAACAUCGGUUUUGAAUGUCAUAAAAUGACUGGAGGAAUGUGGCUUCGAUCUCAUAUCGAAGUGUUAUAACCUUUGGUAGAUGUGAUGUUCGAGACCGAGGAUUGCAACGGAUACCUUUCCAGGCUAUUCGUCUGAUCUCUGAUACGUUGCCUUGAUGUCNAAAGCGUGCUUAUGAUGUUAGGGUAUUACGGUCAAAAGGUUANAACGGAUUAAAUUCGUUAAGGAUGUUGACGUA